UACCGAGGGUGCGAACGUUGCUCGGAAUUACUGGGCGUAAAGCGCGUGUAGGCGGGGAGGAAAGUCAGAUGGGAAAUCCCUGGGCUCAACCUAGGACUUGCAUCUGAAACUGCCGGUCUUGAGUGUCGGAGAGGGUAGCGGAAUUCCUGGUGUAGAGGUGAAAUUCGUUGAUAUCAGGAGGAACACCGGUGGCGAAGGCGGCUGCCUGGACGACUACUGACGCUGAGACGCGAAAGCGUGGGGAGCAAACAGG
rnacentral:rRNA from 1 species